rnacentral:rRNA from 1 species
UGAGGAAUAUUGGUCAAUGGGCGAGAGCCUGAACCAGCCAAGUCGCGUGAAGGAAGACAGUCCUAAGGAUUGUAAACUUCUUUUAUACGGGAAUAACGGGCGAUACGAGUAUUGCAUUGAAUGUACCGUAAGAAUAAGCAUCGGCUAACUCCGUGCCAGCAGCCGCGGUAAUACGGAGGAUGCGAGCGUUAUCCGGAUUUAUUGGGUUUAAAGGGUGCGUAGGUUGUUCGGUAAGUCAGCGGUGAAACCUGAGCGCUCAACGUUCAGCCUGCCGUUGAAACUGCCGGGCUUGAGUUCAGUGGCGGCAGGCGGAAUUCGUGGUGUAGCGGUGAAAUGCAUAGAUAUCACGAGGAACUCCGAUUGCGAAGGCAGCUUGCCAUACUGCGACUGACACUGAAGCACGAAGGCGUGGGUAUCAAACA